rnacentral:rRNA from 1 species
GAUGAACGCUGGCGGCGUGCCUAAUACAUGCAAGUCGAGCGAACGGACGAGAAGCUUGCUUUUCUGAUGUUAGCGGCGGACGGGAGAGUAACACGUGGAUACUCUACCUAUAAGACUGGGAUAACUUCGGGAAACCGGCGCUAAUACCGGAUAAUCUUUUGAACCGCAUGGUUCAAAAGAGAAAGACGGUCUUGCGGUCACUUAUAGAUGGAUACGCGCUGCAUUAGCUGGUUGGUAAGGUAACGGCUUACCAAGGCAAGGAGGCAUAGCCGACCGGUGUGGGUGGUAGGCCACCUUGGAGCGGGAACGGGCUCCUUGCGCCUGCGGUAGGCAGCAGAAGGCAAUCGGCCGCAGUGGGCGAGAGCAUGACGGAGCGACGCCGCGUGAGUGAUGAAGGUCCUCGGAGCGUAAAACUCGGUUAUGAGGUAAGAACAUAUGUGUAAGUAGCUGUGCACAUCUUGACGGUACCUAGUCAGAAAGCCACGGCUAACUACGUG